rnacentral:rRNA from 1 species
AGUGAACGCUGGCGGUAGGCCUAACACAUGCAAGUCGAACGGCAGCACAGUAAGAGCUUGCUCUUACGGGUGGCGAGUGGCGGACGGGUGAGGAAUACAUCGGAAUCUACUUUUUCGUGGGGGAUAACGUAGGGAAACUUACGCUAAUACCGCUUACGACCUACGGGUGAAAGCAGGGGAUCUUCGGACCUUGCGCGAUUGAAUGAGCCGAUGUCGGAUUAGCUAGUUGGCGGGUUAAAGGCCCACCAAGGCGACGAUCCGUAGCUGGUCUGAGAGGAUGAUCAGCCACACUGGAACUGAGACACGGUCCAGACUCCUACGGGAGGCAGCAGUGGGGAAUAUUGGACGAUGGGCGCAAGCCUGAUCCAGCCAUACCGCGUGGGUGAAGAAGGCCUUCGGGUUGUAAAGCCCUUUUGUUGGGAAAGAAAAGCAGCAGGUUAAUACCCCGCUGUUCUGACGGUACCCAAAGAAUAAGCACCGGCUAACUUCGUG